UAAUGGUGGGGAGAAGAAGCAGGGCACGCGCAUCGUGCGAGCAGCAGCACGACUUAUGUUGUUAUUUACACCGGUUACGCCAGUGUUUUCUUACGCUUGGGCUGUACUGUAGAGCACCACGUGGAUUGUUUAUCUCAUGAAGACAAUAAAAAUAUCGAGAAGCAGGUUCCUCGAGAUUUGUCUUCACUUCCCAGGCGUCCUCUUCACCACUGGCCUAUUUAUUCGCCUUGCAGUUCUCAAGUAAACACAAUGUAAACUUUAAUUCGAGAAGUAAUCGUCUCGAGUGUCGAUCAUCCUGACUGAGGGGUUUUCUUCGAUCUCUGCAAAUGAAUGUCAGUGUAAUACAAACGAAAGUCCUUCAAAAUCUGAAUAUAUUCAUUUCAAAUAAUAAAUUCAACUUUAUAACACCUUAGCUGUUGAAAUAAUGUCGUUGUAGGCCUACAACCUGAGAAUAAAUCAAACAACUUACCAACGUA